GGGCUCUUUUGCCAGCAUAGCUAGUCAGUUGGGGGUGAUUUUUCCUUCCUUGUCAGUCAGUCAAACUCAAUCUGUUGUUGUCUCCCUUCUGGAUCCUUCCCUUCUGUACUUAAAUUUGCUGUUUUCCUUUAUCCUAAAGCAAUCUUCAUUCAACCUCAUAUUCUCCUCCCCUUUGUUGCUAAGCACUUUGUGUAGGCUGUCCCUUCUCAUGGGGUGGACUUCUCUUACGCCCUUCUCUGUCUGUUUUCACUUUCUCUGCUCCACUAAAAUGAAUUGCCUCUUUUCCAAGUCAGAGGCCAUGUCUACACUACAACCUUUGGUCAAACGAAGUUAUGGUAGGAUACAGCUACUGAAGUUUGUGUAUUACAUGGGUGCAUACAUUUUUGGCUGCUUGUAUUGGUGAUGCACCCUGGACCUUCAUAGGUGCUGGAACUAGGGAUGCGGAGAGUGGCUUGAAGUGGCUUCCAUUAUAUACAGGGUUUACAGUUUGGUUCAAUGGCUCUCAGCACCCCCACUAUACAAAUUGUUCCAGCACCCUGCAGACCUUCAGGGAGCACUGGGAUCACAAUGAGGAAGAUGAGGAUAUAUUUGAGGAGAGAUUGCUGAUGGACAUAGCAAAAAAAUAAUAAUCCCAGAUUGUUUGUGGCAUUCAUGGAGCAGCUGCACACUGUGGAGUAUUUCUUCUGGGCCUAAGAAACAAGCACUGAUUGGUGGGAUUGCACAUAAUGCAUAUUUGGGACAAUGAGCAGUGGCUGCAGAACUUUUGGAUGCAAAAGGCCACAUUCCUGGAUCUGUGCCAUCCUCACCCCAGCCCUCCAGUGCAGGGACAGAACGAGAGCUCAUUGGCCGUGGAGAAGUGAGUGGUGAUCGUGUUCUGGAAGCUUAAAGCACUGGAUUGCAACUGGUUAGUGGGAAAUCAUUUUGAAGUUAGAAAAUCCAUAGUGGGGGCCAUUGUCAUCCAAGUGUGUAAGGCCAUUGAAUGCGGUUCAAGACUGUGACUCCCAGCAAUAUGCAAGAAAUGGUGGAUGGAUUUGCAAAAAUGGGGUUCCGAACUGUGGUGGGGGAAUAGACAGAAUGCACAUCCCUAUCUUGGUGCCAGCCCACGUUGCUACAGAAUACGUCGACAGAAAGGCCUAUUUUUCUAUAGUUAUGCAAAUGCUAUUAGAUCCCUGGGGACGCUUCACUGAUCUCAAUUAAGGUUGGUCCAGGAAGGUGCAUGAUGCUUGCAUCUUUAAGAUCACAGAAUUGUUCAGAAAGCUGCAAGCAGGGACAUUCUUUCCUUGGUGGCUGAUUAACAUUGGUGAUGUGGAAAUGCUAACAGUGAUGUUUGACCCUUUGAUCCCCUGACGCAUGAAGCCGGACGCUGCCCACCUUGACAGCACCAAGGAAAGAUUCUGCUACUGGCUUAGUAUGUGCAGAAUGACUGUUGAAUGAGGUUUGGUAGAUCGUAGGGUCACUGGGAUUGUUUACGCACUCCAUUAGAUCUCAGGGAGAAAAACAUCCCAGUGGUUAUAGCUGCAUGUUGUGUACUGCAUAAUAUAUGUGAGGCAAAAAGGGAAACGCUACCACCGGGUGGAGGGGCAAGGUUGACCAACUUUCUGCUAAAUUUGAACAUCCAAACACCAGGGCUAUUAGAGGAGCCCAACCUGGAGCUGUGUGUUUGAGGGAGGCUUUAAAAGUUCAUUUUCAGUCAGCCACAGUAGCAUUCUCUCUUGCUGUCUUGAGACAGUGUCUGUCUUGCAUAGUUUAAACCAGGUCCUGGUGGUAUUGCUUUGCUACUGUGGUGCUUGGUGUGUGUUUAUGAGAGCUGUUUCAUUUCUUGGCUGCUUCUGUGCGUUCUGAUAAAGAUACUUUGUGUCUCCAAAAAUACAACUUUUUUUUUUAGGGCAAAAAUU